rnacentral:rRNA from 1 species
UACAGAGGGGGCAAGCGUUGUUCGGAAUUACUGGGCGUAAAGGGCGCGUAGGCGGCCUGCUAAGUCGAACGUGAAAUCCCUGGGCUCAACCCAGGAACUGCGUCCGAUACUGGUUGGCUUGAAUCCGGGAGAGGGAUGUGGAAUUCCAGGUGUAGCGGUGAAAUGCGUAGAUAUCGAGAAGAACGCUCGUGGCGAAAGCGAGAUCCUGGGCAGCCUCUGACGCUGAGGCACGAAGGCCAGGGGAGCAAACGGG